rnacentral:rRNA from 1 species
AGCGAACGCUGGCGGCAGGCCUAACACAUGCAAGUCGAACGCGUGUAGCAAUACACGAGUGGCAGACGGGUGAGUAACACGUGGGAACGUGCCCUUCGGUUCGGAAUAACUCAGGGAAACUUGAGCUAAUACCGGAUACGCCCUUACGGGGAAAGAUUAUCGCCGAAGGAUCGCCCGCGUCUGAUUAGCUAGUUGGUGAGGUAACGGCUCACCAAGGCGACGAUCAGUAGCUGGUCUGAGAGGAUGAUCAGCCACACUGGGACUGAGACACGGCCCAGACUCCUACGGGAGGCAGCAGUGGGGAAUAUUGGACAAUGGGGGAAACCCUGAUCCAGCCAUGCCGCGUGAGUGAUGAAGG